rnacentral:rRNA from 1 species
GACGAACCGUCCGAACGUUAUUCGGAAUCACUGGGCUUAAAGGGUGCGUAGGCGGCGCGGAAAGUUGGGUGUGAAAUACCUCGGCUCAACCGAGGAACUGCGCCCAAAACUACCGUGCUCGAGGGAGAUAGAGGUGAGCGGAACUUAGGGUGGAGCGGUGAAAUGCGUUGAUAUCCUAAGGAACACCGGUGGCGAAAGUGGCUCACUGGAUCUCUUCUGACGCUGAGGCACGAAAGCUAGGGGAGCGAACGGG